GCUGGGAGAGACAGGGUGCUGAAGGACUCUCAAGGGAUAUGGGGGAGUAGUACUUUGCCAAGUAGGACCUUAUUUCAAUAUUUUAGCUAUGGUGCUGGCAAUGUGAGUACAUUUUUGGCUGAGCAUUUACUUUGGGUGAGAGCCCUGUCAUAUCCCGGGUCAGAAUGGGAAAGAAACAAUGAUCCCAUCAUGGUCGAUGGGAUCAUGUUUGUCUGGAACAAACCAGAGAAGGGAGAAAACAGAGUCCAGCAGCCGAGAGAACAGCCUAGCCCUGUAGACGGGGACAGGAGUGACAGAGAGAGUGACAGGGCUGGACAUAUUUGGACGUGGUACAAAGGUCUUGCCAAGAAGAUGCUUUGAUUCUUUCUUGGCCUUCUGGCUAAGAUCAAGUGCAAGAAACCGAUUUGGCUCAAAAAAAAAAAAAAAAAA
rnacentral:lncRNA from 1 species